GGCUUAACACAUGCAAGUCGAGGGGCAUCAGGAAGAAAGCUUGCUUUCUUUGCUGGCGACCGGCGCACGGGUGAGUAACACGUAUCCAACCUGCCCUUUACUCGGGGAUAGCCUUUCGAAAGAAAGAUUAAUACCCGAUAGCAUAAUGAUUCCGCAUGGUUUCAUUAUUAAAGGAUUCCGGUAAAGGAUGGGGAUGCGUUCCAUUAGGUUGUUGGUGAGGUAACGGCCCACCAAGCCUUCGAUGGAUAGGGGUUCUGAGAGGAAGGUCCCCCACAUUGGAACUGAGACACGGUCCAAACUCCUACGGGAGGCAGCAGUGAGGAAUAUUGGUCAAUGGGCACUAGCCUGAACCAGCCAAGUAGCGUGAAGGAUGAAGGCUCUAUGGGUCGUAAACUUCUUUUAUAUAAGAAUAAAGUGCAGUAUGUAUACUGUUUUGUAUGUAUUAUAUGAAUAAGGAUCGGCUAACUCCGUGCCAGCAGCCGCGGUAAUACGGAGGAUCCGAGCGUUAUCCGGAUUUAUUGGGUUUAAAGGGAGCGUAGGUGGACUGGUAAGUCAGUUGUGAAAGUUUGCGGCUCAACCGUAAAAUUGCAAUUGAUACUGUCAGUCUUGAGUACAGUAGAGGUGGGCGGAAUUCGUGGUGUAGCGGUGAAAUGCUUAGAUAUCACGAAGAACUCCGAUUGCGAAGGCAGCUCACUGGACUGCAACUGACACUGAUGCUCGAAAGUGUGGGUAUCAAACAGGAUUAGAUACCCUGGUAGUCCACACAGUAAACGAUGAAUACUCGCUGUUUGCGAUAUACAGUAAGCGGCCAAGCGAAAGCAUUAAGUAUUCCACCUGGGGAGUACGCCGGCAACGGUGAAACUCAAAGGAAUUGACGGGGGCCCGCACAAGCGGAGGAACAUGUGGUUUAAUUCGAUGAUACGCGAGGAACCUUACCCGGGCUUAAAUUGCAGUGGAAUGAUGUGGAAACAUGUCAGUGAGCAAUCACCGCUGUGAAGGUGCUGCAUGGUUGUCGUCAGCUCGUGCCGUGAGGUGUCGGCUUAAGUGCCAUAACGAGCGCAACCCUUAUCUUUAGUUACUAACAGGUUAUGCUGAGGACUCUAGAGAGACUGCCGUCGUAAGAUGUGAGGAAGGUGGGGAUGACGUCAAAUCAGCACGGCCCUUACGUCCGGGGCUACACACGUGUUACAAUGGGGGGUACAGAAGGCAGCUAGCGGGUGACCGUAUGCUAAUCCCAAAAUCCUCUCUCAGUUCGGAUCGAAGUCUGCAACCCGACUUCGUGAAGCUGGAUUCGCUAGUAAUCGCGCAUCAGCCACGGCGCGGUGAAUACGUUCCCGGGCCUUGUACACACCGCCCGUCAAGCCAUGGGAGCCGGGGGUACCUGAAGUACGUAACCGCAAGGAUCGUCCUAGGGUAAAACUGGUGACUGGGGCUAAGUAAUA
rnacentral:rRNA from 1 species